ACAACUAUUAUAAUUCAACCCCACACAACUCUAAAUAAGACUCCUUCAACCCUUUGAAUAGGAUGAUACCAUUGUUUUUCACUUUUUGGCUUGUAAUGAGUUUUAAACAAAAAAUGGGAUAAUAGACUCAACGAGUUUUCAAACAAGGGAAGAUAAAUUCAGGGUUGGCUUUUUGGCUAACUAGAUAAAUAAAUAAAUAAA
rnacentral:lncRNA from 1 species